GCAUCGGUAGUUCAAUGGCGAGCACGCAGGCGGCCCGAGUUCGAUUCCCGGCCGAUGCA
rnacentral:tRNA from 1 species